rnacentral:rRNA from 1 species
UACGUAGGGGGCAAGCGUUGUCCGGAUUUAUUGGGCGUAAAGAGCGUGUAGGCGGCCAUACAGGUCAGCUGUGAAAACUCGAGGCUCAACCUCGAGACGUCGGUUGAAACCGUAUGGCUAGAGUCCGGAAGAGGAGAGUGGAAUUCCCGGUGUAGCGGUGAAAUGCGCAGAGUAUCAGGAGGAACACCAAUUGCGAAGGCAGCUCGCUGGGACGUAACUGACGCUGAGAACGCGAAAGCGUGGGGAGCAAACAGG